rnacentral:rRNA from 1 species
AUGCCUAAUUUUUUCGUAUCUCUCGUACAUGCAUAUUUGUCCAAUAUACUGUAUAACACUUCUCUAAAAAUCACAGGUGUCGUCUCCAAUGCAUCUACAACAUGUUUAAUGUUGGUCCUGAGUUCUCAACUUUUUUAUGAGAAAAUCUGCAAGGCUGCUACCUUCAGCAUACAAUAUAAUCCUGAGGGCAGGAACAAGAGCUUCUUUCUGACUUUCCAUGAUACAAACUUCUCUGCACGUGAACAGGCUAUAUUCAGUUCUGUAGGCAGUUGCAAUGAUUUCAUCUAUAUCCCUAAGGGCUCCUGGAUCUGA